rnacentral:rRNA from 1 species
GAUGAACGCUGGCGGCGUGCCUAAUACAUGCAAGUCGAGCGAACAGAUAAGGAGCUUGCUCCUUUGACGUUAGCGGCGGACGGGUGAGUCACACGUGGGUAACCUACCUAUAAGACUGGGAUAACUUCGGGAAACCGGAUCUAAUACCGGAUCACAUUUGGAACCGCAUGGUUCUAAAGUGAAAGAUGGUUGUUCUAUCACUUAUAGAUGGACCCGCGCCGUAUUAGCUAGUUGGUAAGGUAACUGCUUACCAAGGCUACGAUACGUAGACGACCUGAGAGCGUGAUUCCCUAGCCUGGAUGUGAGAAAGAGUCGACACUCCUAGGCUGGGCCGCAGCCGGGACUCCUACGCAAAGGAGGAGUGGGGAAUGGUGCACAGCCGGGUAAAGCAUGAUCGAGCUAGGCUGCGAGAGCGCUGAUAUUAGGAGAGAAGUAAAGCGCAUGUACCCGUGAACGUAAUGACGGUACCGAAAGAGAAAGCCCCGGCUAACUCCGUG